rnacentral:rRNA from 1 species
UUUGACCUACGGGGCGCAGCAGUGAGGAAUAUUGGUCAAUGGUCGGGAGACUGAACCAGCCACGCCGCGUGAGGGAGGAAGGUACAGAGUAUCGUAAACCUCUUUUGUCAGGGAACAAAGGCGGGGACGUGUCCCCGGAUGAGUGUACCUGAAGAAAAAGCAUCGGCUAACUCCGUGCCAGCAGCCGCGGUAAUACGUAGGUGGCAAGCGUUAUCCGGAUUUAUUGGGCGUAAAGGGAACGCAGGCGGUCUUUUAAGGCUGAUGUGAAAGCCUUCGGCUUAAACGGAGUAGUGCAUUGGAAACUG